CAGCAGAAUGGCUGGUAAAAAAGGUUGGUUUCUCUCAAAUUCACCUAAAGGCUGGAUAUAUUGCCUGUUUAAGAGGCUGGUGUAAAUAUAAAACUGUUCAUUUGAACAAUUAGUGCACAACAAUGUUAGAUAUGUUGCAAUGAUAUUACCAAUAAACGUAAGAUGGUAAGUACGCAUACCGAUAUGUGAAGAGCCCACCAAAUAUAAGAUGGUCCUCCGUGACUCAAGGUAUAAGUGGCAUAUAUGUCGGAACUGAAUUUUGACUGUUUCAAUGAAGCCUUCUUCCAUCGUUGGCCAAUGAGUUUUUGAAUCAGAAAUGUAACAACCGAGGGUGUGUUCUUGGAGGACUCUGUAAGAACAUCAUUUGUCGCGAUCAGUUUGACAAAACCAAUAUUUCCUCCAAAGUACCCCAUUGCGCUGGGUAAUGUAUGUUCGAUGGCACCGUUCGGGUGUUCGUAGUCACAACCCAUAUGAUCAUGGCCAGAAAGGACCAAUUUGAUGCUAGGAAUCAAUUCAAAAAUUUUCAUAGUAGUAUUAUACGAUAAAUGAUUUUGAGACUUGACCCGAAAAUCCAAUUGACGAACGAUUCUCGGUUCGUCAACACACACAUUAGCUGGUUUGUAGAGUGGCACAUGGGUGAACAGUAUGGUUGGAAUAGACGGCUCUAAAGCAAUGUCGAAAAGAAAUUGCCAAGCAUCCCUAGCUUCUUUUGAAAGAGCAAGUAUACCUAAUGAUGAAAAACUUUUACUGUUAAUAAUAUCGCUAGGGUUCGCAUCGUAAAACUGAACAUCAUCAAGCGAAAGGCUAUUUAUGCCGAUCACACGGACAGGAAAUUUAGAAACAUUGAAGUGCGAAACCCAAUUUACCGGGCCCAUAGCUUGUUCCCAUUUGCUAAUUUGUGCGUCUGAACUUUCGCAGCCAUAGCCAAUGUCAUGAUUACCCGCAAUCGUCCAAACGGGAAUGUUACCGUUUUCAAAAGUACGUGCUGGUAAACUGGAGUUUCCUACUUGCCAAAAGUUUUUUGCCCCAGUGAUUUUUUUCAGUCUUUUAGCUCUUUUGUUGAAUUCUUCGUUAUCCAAGUGCUGAAAACUGACCAAGUCACCCAACAGAAUCAUCGCAUCUGGUUGACCCCAAAACUGAUUCAUAUGUACAAGGUGUCGUAAAAACAAAUCAUUCCCCCAAAGAUCUAAAGUGCCUUUAAAAAAUCCAUUUGCUUCGAUUUUAUGAUUCCCUUCAAUCUGAGGAUCAGCAACCCCCAUAAUAACAAAAGAAUUUUCAUCUUCGAGUUGCAGCUUUCUUGGCAUUAUGCCAAAUAGUAGAGGAUAGGCAUAGUAGACAGCUAAAAAAACUAGGCAAAGAUAAUGUAAAAUAGACAGUUGUUUG